rnacentral:tRNA from 1 species
GUCUUCGUGGUGUAGAGGUCAGCACGCUCGACGCGUAACUGAGAGGUCCGUGGUUCGAUUCCGUGGCGAAGGCG